UACGUAGGAGACGAGCGUUGUCCGGAAUUACUGGGCGUAAAGCGCGUGUAGGCGGAUGGGCAAGUCUGCUGUGAAAGCUCCUGGCUUAACCGGGAGUGGUCGGUGGAAACUGCCAAUCUGGAGGACGGUAGAGGCUGGUGGAAUUCCCGGUGUAGUGGUGAAAUGCGUAGAGAUCGGGAGGAACACCUGUGGCGAAGGCGGCCAGCUGGGCCGGACCUGACGCUGAGACGCGAAGGCGUGGGGAGCGAACGGG
rnacentral:rRNA from 1 species